rnacentral:rRNA from 1 species
GUACACUCCUGCGGGAGGCAGCAGUGGGGAAUAUUGGACAAUGGGCGCAAGCCUGAUCCAGCCAUGCCGCGUGAGUGAUGAAGGCCCUAGGGUUGUAAAGCUCUUUCACCGGAGAAGAUAAUGACGGUAUCCGGAGAAGAAGCCCCGGCUAACUUCGUGCCAGCAGCCGCGGUAAUACGAAGGGGGCUAGCGUUGUUCGGAAUUACUGGGCGUAAAGCGCACGUAGGCGGAUCGAUCAGUCAGGGGUGAAAUCCCAGGGCUCAACCCUGGAACUGCCUUUGAUACUGUCGAUCUGGAGUAUGGAAGAGGUGAGUGGAAUUCCGAGUGUAGAGGUGAAAUUCGUAGAUAUUCGGAGGAACACCAGUGGCGAAGGCGGCUCACUGGUCCAUUACUGACGCUGAGGUGCGAAAGCGUGGGGAGCAAACAGGAUUAGAUACCCUAGUAGUCCC